AGCAGGUCCUGGUGGGCUACAGACUCUCCCGAAGAGAGAAAGGGCACCAGAGAGCCAGAUUCCUGAUGUUCUUAUGGAUGGAGAGUCUCCUUCCAAAGAAUAACCACCUUCCAUUUCAUCCUUUCUUCCUGCAAGCCAAAGAUCUCAACUUGAAUGCUCUUCCACAGAUGACCUAGAAGAAAUUUCAUCUCUGUCGCAGGGCUCCUGAAGAAACAGCUCAUUCUGGGGCUCAGCAGCACUCAUCAUUAAGGAGCUGCACAUCAAAGCCACAAUAAUGAGAUAACAAAGAUGAAGCCAGAAGAUUUAGCUAAGUGAAAUAAGCCACACACAGAAAGACGACUCCACACAAUCUCACGUAUCCAUCGGUAUCACUUCGUCUGGUGCUAAAGCCACGACCUGAAUUUAGGAUGUAUAGAGAAAUGGGAAAAGAUGAGGGCGAAACCAGCCAGGGGAGACUCCAACAAAGCUAUGAUUAGAAGCCACUUGCUCUCACACCUGUAUCUGAAGCAUUACCUUUCCAAACAGAAGAGGCGCAGACGCAGCACAGCAAUGUGUAGAAAUAGGGAGCAUUUACUCAAUCAUACGUAGUUUCAAAGAUGUCAGUGAACUAUACACAAUACAUUAUUCCCUUCAUGUCCUUUUUCAAAUGUUCACUGGUUUGACCUAUUAAUUCCUACUAAAGCCCUAGAUUAUUUUAUCUCAGUCCUAGAUAAUUUCCAGACUUCCCCUAGGUAAUAUCUAUACUCUGUGUGGCUUUUUUUCCAAAUCACUCUAUUCAGAUAGGCCAAAUUUUUGCACAAAAACUUUUUAAACAUGCUCCUCUGUGCAACAGUCAACAGUGGCUCCCCAUGCGGUAAGGUCAGAUGAUACGAACUGACUUUUCACUGUCUUGUGAAGUCUGGCCCCAUCUUACGUAUAGAUUGCUCAGGGCUGCUCAAGUGGCCUUGUACCACUAGUGGAGCCUGGCAUUCACAGUCCUGCUCAUUCUCAUCAGCAUGCUCCUGUUUACACACCCCCUUCCCUGUACCCUUCCAAAGCUAGCUAUUCUGCUGCUUCAACUACUACAUCUGCCUUUCUCUCCUUCAUUUAUUUAACCCAGAUGUAAGUAUUAUAUAUAGCCAUGAGAGACUAAAGUCUCUGCUCCACCAUUAAACUAACCACUUAUUCACCAUAAGGCCACACUUCAACAUCACAAUCUACCUCCACUUUGAGAACCCAAAGAAGCUGCAGGAAUAAACAAAUAUUUAGUCUCCACAUCAGUGUCCCACUUCAGCCUAUAAACAAGCGGCUCAUUAGCUGAUUUAUUAUAAAAUCCCUGAGCAUAAAUUUUCCUAUAGCAACUGGCACUCUUUGUGCUGAUUUACUCAGGGUGACAUCCUCAUUUAACAAAGCAUAUUCAGCCUCACAAUGCUCUAUGGCUGCCACAAUCACAGCUAAAUAUAAUUUCCCACUGAGACACAUUUGCUAAUUCCUGCUCAUCCCUCAGGUCAUAACCCAGAUGUCACUUCCUCAAGGAGGCUAACACACGAUAUGUGCUCUCAAUAAGUAUUUGUUUAGAUGAAACAAGCAGGCAGGCAGAGAUAACAGAAAAGAAUUAAUUCCCCAUGGAGCAAAUUAGGGCCAGUAAUAAUGUUUCUGAGGUCAUGCAGCUAGGGAGGCUGUAGAAGUCAGAAUCAAGAUAGAACCCACGAUCAAG